GGUUGGAUCAUUAUUAAAUGAUAGCCAGUUCUCUCUGUUUCGGCAGAGAUUGAGCAGGCAUUAACCCUUUGUGAACUGUUAUUUUACUUGGUAGGUUCAAUCUUGCCCUUUGAGCUUCGGCGAAGAGGGUGGGAAAGUUCCUACCGCCAUUUAUACCAACCCCUUAUAUGAUUAUCUGAAAUUGAGUUAAUGAGAAACAACUUUUGACAAUGGAUCUCUUGGCUCUCGCAACGAUGAAGAACGCAGCGAAAUGCGAUACGUAAUGUGAAUUGCAAAUUCUCGUGAAUCAUCAAAUCUUUGAACGCACAUUGCACUCUGUUUCGGCAGAGUAUGCCUGUUUGAGAAUCUAUAGUUUUCUUACUAGACGGUGUUUUACUUUCGGGUGAAGCAUUGAAUGGUAGAUUUGAGACUUGAAUGCCUAGCAUUCUGUCUUUAAAUAGAUUGCUGCCUAUGAAUGGUGACUUUAGUGUUUGAAUAGGACUUUUGUUCUCGAUUGCGCUGAGGAAGCUAUGCUAUGGUAGUUCAUAACCUAUAGAAUUCCUAUGAACUUGCUGCAAAACCUUUGUUUCGGCAGAGGCUAGUAGUAGGGACGUAGUAAUUUGAACCAUGGUCUCAAAUCAGGUAGGAAGACCCGCUGAACUUAAGCAUAUCAAUAAGCGGAGGAAAAGAAACUAACAAGGAUUCCCCUAGUAACGGCGAGUGAAGCGGGAUGAGCUCAAAUUUGAAAUCUCGUACCUUUGGUACGCGAAUUGUAGUUUAAAGAAUCGUUUUCGGAGUUGGUCUCAGUACAAGUUCUUUGGAACGAGACAUCAUAGAGGGUGAAAAUCCCGUCUUUGACUGAGAUACCAAUUCUAUGUGAUACGUUUUCUAAGAGUCGGUUUGUUUGGGAAUGCAGACCAAAAUGGGUGGUAAAUACCAUCUAAAGCUAAAUAUUGGCGAGAGACCGAUAGCGAACAAGUACCGUGAGGGAAAGAUGAAAAGAACUUUGAAAAGAGAGUUAAAUAGUACGUGAAAUUGUCAAAAGGGAAACGUUUGAAACCAGUAUUGCGGGCAGUACUUCAGCUAUCCUUUAGGGUAGUGUAUUGUACUGUCUGCGAGUCAACAUCAGUUUGACUCUUGGUAAAAUGCUAGCGGAAAGUAGCCCUCUUUGGGGUGUUAUAUACGUUAGUUAUGCCGAGGGUUGGACUGAGGGCUGCAGUUUAUGUUGGGAGCUAGUUGCCUUUGGAAGUAGUGGUGUUAAAUGCUUGCAGAUGACACUUCCUACCAAGAAGUUCGGCUGGUAACCUUUGAAUUUUGGAUGUUGACGAAAUGGUUUUAAGCGACCCGUCUUGAAACACGGACCAAGGAGUCUAACAUAUAUGCGAGUGUUUGGGUGUUAAACUCUUACGCGUAAUGAAAGUGAAAAGGUGGGAUCCUUUAUUGGUGCACCAUCGACCGCGCUAGAUUAUUACUAUCUCAGCGUGAGUAUGAGCAUAUAUGCUGGGACCCGAAAGAUGGUGAACUAUGCCUGAAUAGGGUGAAGCCAGAGGAAACUCUGGUGGAGGCUCGUAGCGGUUCUGACAUGCAAAUCGAUCGUCAAAUUUGGGUAUAGGGGCGAAAGACUAAUCGAACCAUCUAGUAGCUGGUUCCCUC
rnacentral:misc_RNA from 1 species